ensembl:lncRNA
AUUAGCUCUUCCUGUCUCUGCUUUCCCUGAUUGCGUCUGCGUUUCCAGUUUGCCUUUGGAGUCGGCUCCCCUUAGCACCGUCCUGGCGUUUGCUGAAUGAAUGGGGGCCGAUGAGGAAAUCAAGAUCAAGAGAAUUAACUGACUUACCCAAGAUCUUAUAAGUAGUAAGCAGUUCAGAUAGUAUUUGAACCCAGAUGCCUUCUAAAUCCAGAUUCAUCACACUUCACUGCAGAGCUCUUCCAGAAAAAUGUGAUGUUCCAGGGCUGCUUGAUAGCAGAACAUUGUCAUCUGCAGAAGAGGCAUCUGAAGAGUAUCACUAUAUAAAAGACCCUUUUUCAUCUUGGAUGUUUCUGGGUUUCCUCUGUCACAAGGAUAAACACCUUUGAGAAGCUUAUAUUCCUUUGAUGUUUACAAUCAGAGAGUCAUUUGGACAGGGUAAUUUUUAUGUCUUUUAGAGAAUUUUGAGUGAUUUUUGAGGUGUUGAUAGCAGGCACAUCAUUGUAAAAGAAACUUUAAAGAUAUUUUGCUCAACUGAAUAAAAGGAA